rnacentral:rRNA from 1 species
GAUGAACGCUGGCGGCGCGCCUAACACAUGCAAGUCGAACGAAGCUUGACGGAUGAUUUCUUCGGAAUGAAACCAGAUAUGACUUAGUGGCGGACGGGUGAGUAACACGUGAGCAACCUGCCUUUCAGAGGGGGAUAACGGCUGGAAACGGUCGCUAAUACCGCAUGAUGUGUUCGGAUGGCAUCAUCUGACCAUCAAAGAUUUAUCGCUGAAAGAUGGGCUCGCGUCUGAUUAGAUAGUUGGUGGGGUAACGGCCUACCAAGUCUACGAUCAGUAGCCGGACUGAGAGGUUGAACGGCCACAUUGGGACUGAGAUACGGCCCAGACUCCUACGGGAGGCAGCAGUGGGGAAUAUUGCACAAUGGGGGAAACCCUGAUGCAGCAACGCCGCGUGAAGGAUGACGGUUUUCGGAUUGUAAACUUCUUUUCUUAGUGACGAAGACAGUGACGGUAGCUAAGGAAUAAGCAUCGGCCAACUACGUG